rnacentral:rRNA from 1 species
UACGAAGGGGGCUAGCGUUGUUCGGAAUUACUGGGCGUAAAGCGUGCGCAGGCGGCUCAUCAAGUCAGAGGUGAAAGCCCAGGGCUCAACCCUGGAAUUGCCUUUGAAACUGGUGGGCUUGAGUGCGGGAGAGGUGAGUGGAAUUCCCAGUGUAGAGGUGAAAUUCGUAGAUAUUGGGAAGAACACCGGUGGCGAAGGCGGCCAUCUGGACUGCAACUGACGCUGAGGCGCGAAAGCGUGGGGAGCAAACAGG